GACGAACGCUGGCGGCGUGCUUAACACAUGCAAGUCGAACGGAAAGGCCCUGCUUUUGUGGGGUGCUCGAGUGGCGAACGGGUGAGUAACACGUGAGUAACCUGCCCUUGACUUUGGGAUAACUUCAGGAAACUGGGGCUAAUACCGGAUAGGAGCUCCUGCUGCAUUGUGGGGGUUGGAAAGUUUCGGCGGUUGGGGAUGGACUCGCGGCUUAUCAGCUUGUUGGUGGGGUAGUGGCUUACCAAGGCUUUGACGGGUAGCCGGCCUGAGAGGGUGACCGGCCACAGUGGGACUGAGAUACGGCCAAGACGCAUACGGGAGGAAGCAGUGGGGAAUAUUGCACAAUGGGCGGAAGCAGGAUGCAGCAACGCCGCGUGCGGGAUGACGGCCUUCGGGGUGUAAACCGCUUUCGCCUGUGACGAAGCGUGAGUGACGGUAAUGGGCAAAGAAGCACCGGUAAAUUACGU
rnacentral:rRNA from 1 species